rnacentral:rRNA from 1 species
GAUGAACGCUGGCUACAGGCUUAACACAUGCAAGUCGAGGGGAAACGACGGGGAAGCUUGCUUCCCCGGGCGUCGACCGGCGCACGGGUGAGUAACGCGUAUCCAACCUGCCUCUGACUGAGGGAUAACCCGUCGAAAGUCGGCCUAAUACCUCAUGGCAUCGUCUGCGGGCAUCCAACGACGAUUAAAGAUUUCAUCGGUCAGGGAUGGGGAUGCGUCUGAUUAGCUUGUUGGCGGGGUAACGGCCCACCAAGGCUACGAUCAGUAGGGGUUCUGAGAGGAAGGUCCCCCACAUUGGAACGGAGACACGGUCCAAACUCCUACGGGAGGCAGCAGUGAGGAAUAUUGGUCAAUGGGCGGGAGCCUGAACCAGCCAAGUAGCGUGCAGGAUGACGGCCCUAUGGGUUGUAAACUGCUUUUAUGCGGGGAUAAAGUGAGGGACGUGUCCUUCAUUGCAGGUACCGCAUGAAUAAGGACCGGCUAAUUCCGUG